GGGGGGGGAGACACCCAUAGGCUGAGGGGAGGGCGAGCGGCGCUACGGCGCAUGCGCGGCUGCCUCCCCUACACCCCCCCCCCCCACCUCCUUUUCCUCUUCAGGUGAGCGCACGUUGUGUGGGAGUUGUGCGCAUGCGCGGUGUCCGGCGGGGUUCAGUCAGAUGAGCUGGGCAAGCUUCAUUCCGGCCCACGCCUCCUUCCUGAGGGCUCUGCUGAAGGUAGAAGGAUGGAUAGAGGUAAUGCUUCAACCCAGAGGAAGGCUGGAAGGGGCCGGAGCCAGGGAGAAAAACUGAAAGGGAACUCUUACCAAGGACACAUCAUCCAGAAUGAGGCCAAAAGUUGCUGCUCUCUCUGUGAGGUCUUCGCUCACUUGCCUGGAGACCAGUUCUCUUUGAGUGAUCAAUUCUCCAGCAUCAAAGCGAGCCUGAAGUCAGGAUGGACAACAGUGAGAAGAAAGCUCUCAGAUGCUCUACUUGUCACCCAACUUGAUGAAAAUAAAGCCAAGUAGUUAAAACGACAGAGAAGCAAUCAGCAUA